rnacentral:rRNA from 1 species
GAUUUCUGGUUUAAUGCACCUGGCCCGCGGCCACUAGGCUGUGAGUGCCGGCGCGCGUUUACCAUCCUUCUAGAAAAUGAUUCUGCCAUUCACUUGGUUGGGACCGCGAUCUAGAUCUUUUACUUUGAAAAAAUUAGAGUGUUUAAAGCAGGCUUUUGCUAUGAAUACAUUAGCAUGGAAUAAUAAUUUAGGACUUUGGCCCUAUUUUGUUGGUUUCUAGGACUGAAGUAAUGAUUGAUAGGGAUAGUUGGGGGUGCUAGUAUUGGCCGGCCAGAGGUGAAAUUCUUGGAUUCGGUCAAGACUAACUUAUGCGAAAGCAUU